AUACGGAGGGGGCUAGCGUUGUUCGGAAUUACUGGGCGUAAAGCGCACGUAGGCGGUAUAUCAAGUUAGGCGUGAAAGCCCUGGGCUCAACCCGGGAACUGCGCUUAUUACUGAUGAACUAGAGUCCGGGAGAGGGUAGCGGAAUUCCCGGUGUAGCGGUGAAAUGCGUAUAUAUCGUGAAGAACACCAGUGGCGAAGGCGGCCACCUGGCCCGGUACUGACGCUGAGGUGCGAAAGCGUGGGGAGCAAACAGGAUUAGAAACCCCGGUAGUCC
rnacentral:rRNA from 1 species